GCUAUAUUUCCUAGUUAGAUAAAAUUUACAACUAAAUUUUUUUUUUUAAAAAAAAAGAGGGUAACAUUUGGAUAUUUUUUUUAUGUAGGAAAAAGGGAUCAAAUGGUUCAGAUUCUUUCUCCACUUAUUCGGUCAUUUUGACAAUUUUGAGAAUCACGUGUCAGCUAUAGGGACUUUAUAUUUCAACCUGUCUUAAUUGAGUCAUCGGUAACUAACUCAAGAAUUUCCAUCACAAAUGACGUGGUAUUAAGUUAAAUAACUAUCUUCCAAAGCUACUUUUUCUAAAUAACCUUUUUAUAAAAUUAUCUUAAUUUUUUUUAUUAAUCAAUAAAGUAAAUUACUAAUAUACCACCUAAACACAACCUAAACUCCUGUCCUAAUCCCCACGUAUUUUUCUUCUUCUCUUGUUUAUGUUUUCAUCUCUUCUUCAUCUUUUUAUCUCAACCAACUCCAAUAAUAAGCUCAACUAUUAUUUUGUUUUCUUUUCACCUCAUUGUUUUUUUUAAGAUUUUUUUUUCAUAAAUUCAUCUCCAUAUCUUCUCCUUAAAUCUGUCAUUUACUCCCUUAAAAUUCCUAAAAAUAAAACCCUAAUUUGUAAUCAAUCCAAUCUCCAUAGAUUAAACUCAAGAAAUUCUUUUAGUUUAAUCACCAUUCCAGAAGAAAAAUACCAAGUAUUAUUAGAUCCAAAACAACCAAUCUAACGACAGUUGAUUUUGAACGAACCAACUCCUCCCGCAUGCACAAUAACAACUCAAUCAAAUAAUGAGGUUAAUGGGUAGAACUUCAACAAAUAUGUUUGAGAUUUCCAAAGUCUAUUUGAUAUAUUAUAUAACAUGAUUAGUAUUAGUAGAGCUCGAACAUAAAUAGUCGAGAUUAUAAUCUCAACUGCUUUUAGUAGAGCUCGACCAAUGUAGUCUCAAAAGUCUUGAAAUAUUAGUGUAUAGCUCGACUAUACGGAGUAGAGCUCGCACAUUCAUGGGAUGUAGUCUCCAAAUACUUAUAAUGUUAGUAUAAAGCUCAACUAUCUUGAGUUGAGCUCAACCAUUUGUGGGUAAAACUUGACUAUUAUGUUUGUACUCGAUUGAUAUAAUAUUACUUCUUUUUAUUUAAAUUAGUAAAUGGGAAAUGUUGAAGAACAAUCAGAAACAAAUAGAGAAGAAAAAUCAUAAUCAAGUGGACAAGAAGAAACAAUAUCAGAUGGAGAAGAACAAAUAGAAUCGGAUGGAGAAGAACAAGCAGAAUUGGAUGGAGAAGAACAAGCAGAAUCUAAUGGAGAUGAACAAGUAGAAUCCGAUGGAGAAGAGCAAGAAGAAUCUGAUGGAGAAAAAUAAUUAGAGCCUUCAUCAGUGUCACGAGACAGGUAUUUUUUGAAUUUGUUCAUUUUAUUUUAUUAUUAUUUUUCUUAUGUCAUUCAUAUAGUAAAAAAGAUUAUGUUUAUUUUAUGGCAGGUCGAAAAAAUUCUCGAUUGGUGCCUAUAUUAAAGAAAAUGAACAUUUUGAGUGCAAAAUAAGUAUAAAAAGUCGAAUGGACGAGAUCACAAGGAACAUUAAUGAUGUACUAAAGAAUGAUCCGACUCACUUAAAAUUGUUCAAAGAAUCUUUGUUUGGCCACUUUCUCGAUAUUUCUGACUACUAUAGAUAUUUUAGCCAAGUGAUGUGGCUAUUACUCA